GUGCAAAUCCCAAAAAGCCGUCUCAGUUCGGAUUGUACUCUGCAACUCGGGUGCAUGAAGGUGGAAUCGCUAGUAAUCGCGUAACAGCAUGACGCGGUGAAUACGUUCCCGGGCCUUGUACACACCGCCCGUCACACCAUGGGAGUUGGUUUUACCCGAAGCUGGUGCGCUAACCGCAAGGAGGCAGCCAACCACGGUAAGGUCAGCGACUGGGGUGAAGUCGUAACAAGGUAGCCCUAGGGGAACCUGGGGCUGGAUCACCUCCUUAAGCUUGGAUACCCGGGAAUCGAAUGUCCCGCGCCGCACAUGGCGGC
rnacentral:rRNA from 1 species